rnacentral:tRNA from 1 species
UAUCAUUUAGAUUAAUUAAAUCACCUGGUUGUCAGUUGGGAGAAGCUUAGAAUCAUUUAAGCAAUGGUAG